AGUGAACGCUGGCGGUAGGCCUAACACAUGCAAGUCGAACGGCAGCACAGUAAGAGCUUGCUCUUACGGGUGGCGAGUGGCGGACGGGUGAGGAAUACAUCGGAAUCUACUUUUUCGUGGGGGAUAACGUAGGGAAACUUACGCUAAUACCGCAUACGACCUACGGGUGAAAGCAGGGGAUCUUCGGACCUUGCGCGAUUGAAUGAGCCGAUGUCGGAUUAGCCAGUUGGCGGGGUAAAGGCCCACCAAGGCGACGAUCCGUAGCUUGUCUGAGAGGAUGGUCAGCCACACUGGAACUGAGACACGGUCCAGACUCCUACGGGAGGCAGCAGUGGGGAAUAUUGGACAAUGGGCGCAAGCCUGAUCCAGCCAUACCGCGUGAGUGAAGAAGGCCUUCGGGUUGUAAAGCCCUUUUGUUGGGAAAGAAAAGCAGCAGGUUAAUACCCCGCUGUUCUGACGGUACCCAAAGAAUAAGCACCGGCUAACUUCGUG
rnacentral:rRNA from 1 species